CUUGAACUUUAUAAGAGGUCCAGCCUGCCCAGUGACUCUGUUCAACGGCCGCGGUAUCCUAACCGUGCGAAGGUAGCGUAAUCACUUGUUCUUUAAAUGCGGACUAGUAUGAAUGGCACUACGAGGGUUAUACUGUCUCCUUUUUCUAAUCAGUGAAACUAAUCUUCCCGUGAAGAAGCGGGAAUAUAACUAUAAGACGAGAAGACCCUAUGGAGCUUUAAACAACCCAGCAAUUACUUCUAAAAUUGCAAAUUUCAGAAUAUUCAUUUCUUAAGUAAUGUGUCUGCAAGUUUUUGGUUGGGGUGACCAUGGAGAAUAACAUAACCUCCAUAAUGAAUGAAUUCCCUUCUAAGCUGAAAAUUACCAAUUGAAGCAUCAACAUACUGACAUCUAUUGACCCAAUAUAUUUGAUCAACGAAC
rnacentral:rRNA from 1 species